rnacentral:rRNA from 1 species
AACGAACGCUGGCGGCGUGGAUUAGGCAUGCAAGUCGAGCGAAUCCCCGCAAGGGGGGAAGCGGCGAAAGGGGCAGUAAGGCAUGGGUAACCUACCCUGGGGACUGGGAUAGCCCUUCGAGAGAAGGGGUAAUACCGGGCGACGUGCCGAGGAGGCAUCUCUUUGUCACCAAAUGAAUUUCGCCCUGGGAGGGGCCCAUGUGAUAUUAGCUAGUUGGUGAGGUAACGGCUCACCAAGGCGAAGAUGUCUAGCGGGUGUGAGAGCACGACCCGCGCCACUGGCACUGAGACACUGGCCAGACACCUACGGGUGGCUGCAGUCGAGGAUCUUCGGCAAUGGGCGCAAGCCUGACCGAGCGACGCCGCGUGUGCGAUGAAGGCCUUCGGGUUGUAAAGCACUGUCGAGAGGGAGAAAAGCGAAAGCUUGAUCUAUCUCUGGAGGAAGCACGGGCUAAGUUCGUGCCAGCAGCCGCAGUAAAAC